AUGCAAGUCGAGGGGUAACAGGAAGUGCUUGCACUUCGCUGACGACCGGCGAACGGGUGAGUAACGCGUAUACAAUCUGCCUCAUACUAGAGGAUAGCCCGAAGAAAUUUGGAUUAAGACUCUAUGGUAUCAUUUAAAGACAUCUUUUUAUGAUUAAAGGUUACGGUAUGAGAUGAGUAUGCGUUCUAUUAGCUAGUAGGUUGUGGUAACGGCACACCUAGGCUACGAUAGAUAGGGGCCCUGAGAGGGGGACCCCCCACACUGGUACUGAGACACGGACCAGACUCCUACGGGAGGCAGCAGUAAGGAAUAUUGGUCAAUGGACGAAAGUCUGAACCAGCCAUGCCGCGUGCAGGAUGAAUGCCCUAUGGGUUGUAAACUGCUUUUAUAUAGGAAGAAAAACUUUCUCGUGAGAAAGCUUGACGGUACUAUAAGAAUAAGGAUCGGCUAACUCCGUGCCAGCAGCCGCGGUAAUACGGAGGAUCCAAGCGUUAUCCGGAAUUAUUGGGUUUAAAGGGUCCGUAGGUGGAUAAUUAAGUCAGAGGUGAAAUCCUGCAGCUCAACUGUAGAAUUGCCUUUGAUACUGGUUAUCUUGAGUUAUUAUGAAGUGAUUAGAAUGUGUAGUGUAGCGGUGAAAUGCAUAGAUAUUACACAGAAUACCAAUUGCGAAGGCAGAUCACUAAUAAUCAACUGACACUGAGGGACGAAAGCGUGGGUAGCGAACAGGAUUAGAUGCCCUGGUAGUCCACGCCGUAAACGAUGGUCACUAGCUGUUUGGACUUCGGUCUGAGUGGCUAAGCGAAAGUGAUAAGUGACCCACCUGGGGAGUACGUUCGCAAGAAUGAAACUCAAAGGAAUUGACGGGGGCCCGCACAAGCGGUGGAGCAUGUGGUUUAAUUCGAUGAUACGCGAGGAACCUUACCAGGGCUUAAAUGUUUGGUGACAGAUUUAGAGAUAAAUUUUU
rnacentral:rRNA from 1 species